GCGGGUGUAGCUCAAUGGUAGAGCGUCAGCCUUCCAAGCUGGUUGCGUGAGUUCGAUUCUCAUCACCCGCUCCA
rnacentral:tRNA from 1 species